UACGGGGGGGGCAAGCGUUGUUCGGAAUUACUGGGCGUAAAGGGCGCGUAGGCGGCUUCAUAAGUCAGGGGUGAAAUCCGGCAGCUUAACUGUCGCAGUGCCUUUGAUACUGUGGAGCUCGAGGGAGGUAGGGGUCUGUGGAACUUCCGGUGGAGCGGUGAAAUGCGUUGAUAUCGGAAGGAACGCCGGUGGCGAAAGCGACGGACUGGAUCUCUUCUGACGCUGAGGCGCGAAAGCCAGGGGAGCAAACGGGG
rnacentral:rRNA from 1 species